GGAUGAACGCGGGCGGCGUGCCUAAUACAUGCAAGUCGAGCGAAUGGAUUAAGAGCUUGCUCUUAUGAAGUUAGCGGCGGACGGGUGAGUAACACGUGGGUAACCUGCCCAUAAGACUGGGAUAACUCCGGGAAACCGGGGCUAAUACCGGAUAACAUUUUGAACCGCAUGGUUCGAAAUUGAAAGGCGGCUUCGGCUGUCACUUAUGGAUGGACCCGCGUCGCAUUAGCUAGUUGGUGAGGUAACGGCUCACCAAGGCAACGAUGCGUAGCCGACCUGAGAGGGUGAUCGGCCACACUGGGAGUGAGACACGGCCCAGACUCUUACGGGAGGCAGCAGUAGGGAAUCUUCCGCAAUGGACGAAAGUCUGACGGAGCAACGCCGCGUGAGUGAUGAAGGCUUUCGGGUCGUAAAAAUCUGUUGUUAGGGAAGAACAAGUGCUAGUUGAAUAAGCUGGCACCUUGACGGUACCUAACCAGAAAGCCACGGCUAACUACGUGCCAGCAGCCGCGGUAAUACGUAGGUGGCCAGCGUUAUCCGGAAUUAUUGGGCGUAAAGCGCGCGCAGGUGGUUUCUUAAGUUUGAUGUGAAAGCCCACGGCUCAACCGUGGAGGGUCAUUGGAAACUGGGAGACUUGAGUGCAGAAGAGGAAAGUGGAAUUCCAUGUGUAGCGGUGAAAUGCGUAGAGAUAUGGAGGAACACCAGUGGCGAAGGCGACUUUCUGGUCUGUAACUGACACUGAGGCGCGAAAGCGUGGGGAGCAAAACAAGGAUUAGAAUACCCCUGGUAGUUCCCACGCCGUAAACGAAUGAAGUGCUAAGUGUUAGAGGGUUUCCGCCCUUUAGUGCUGAAGUUAACGCAUUAAGCACUCCGCCUGGGGAGUACGGCCGCAAGGCUGAAACUCAAAGGAAUUGACGGGGGCCCGCACAAGCGGUGGAGCAUGUGGUUUAAUUCGAAGCAACGCGAAGAACCUUACCAGGUCUUGACAUCCUCUGACAACCCUAGAGAUAGGGCUUCUCCUUCGGGAGCAGAGUGACAGGUGGUGCAUGGUUGUCGUCAGCUCGUGUCGUGAGAUGUUGGGUUAAGUCCCGCAACGAGCGCAACCCUUGAUCUUAGUUGCCAUCAUUUAGUUGGGCACUCUAAGGUGACUGCCGGUGACAAACCGGAGGAAGGGGGGGAUGACGUCAAAUCAUCAUGCCCCUUAUGACCUGGGCUACACACGUGCUACAAUGGACGGUACAAAGAGCUGCAAGACCGCGAGGUGGAGCUAAUCUCAUAAAACCGUUCUCAGUUCGGAUUGUAGGCUGCAACUCGCCUACAUGAAGCUGGAAUCGCUAGUAAUCGCGGAUCAGCAUGCCGCGGUGAAUACGUUCCCGGGCCUUGUACACACCGCCCGUCACACCACGAGAGUUUGUAACACCCGAAGUCGGUGGGGUAACCUUUUGGAGCCAGCCGCCUAAGGUGGGACAGAUGAUUGGGGUGAA
rnacentral:rRNA from 1 species